rnacentral:rRNA from 1 species
UACGGGGGGGGCAAGCGUUGUUCGGAUUUACUGGGCGUAAAGGGCGCGUAGGCGGUCAGCACAAGUCAGUUGUGAAAUCUCCGGGCUUAACUCGGAAAGGUCAACUGAUACUGUGCGACUAGAGUGCAGAAGGGGCAACUGGAAUUCUUGGUGUAGCGGUGAAAUGCGUAGAUAUCGAGAGGAACACCAGUGGCGAAGGCGAGUCCCUGGACAACUCCUGACACUGAGGCACGAAAGCUAGGGGAGCAAACAGG